GGGUCCGAUCAAACCAGCACAAACGCACCGAAUCCGAUGAGAACUUCGAAGUUAAGCGUGCUUGGGCGAGAGUAGUACGGUGAUGGGUGACCUCCUGGGAAGUCCUCGUGUUGCAUCCC